CGCCUCGCCCCCCGCGCGGCCCGCCUUGCGCGCGCCCUUGGCGAGGUGGCCGUGGCCGUGGCCGUGCGAGUGGCCGUGGCCCGCGCCCUGGCCCUCGCCGCUGUGAUGGUGGAACAGACAGAGCCCCAGCACGUUGACCAGCAGCCCCGCCACGCCGACGCUCAGCACCACGAGCGGCUGCUGCAUCUCAUGCGGCUCGAUGAAGCGCUCGACGGCUUCCAGCAGGAUGGCGAAGCACAGCCCCGUGAGGAAGAUGGCGUUCACCAGGGCGCCCAUCACCUCAGCGCGGAUCCAGCCGAACGUGUUCUUCUGCGUGGCGUGAGUCCUCCGGGCGAAGCGCUCGGCCACCAGCGCCACCACGAGCGCCAGCACGUCCGACAGCAUGUGGAAGGAGUCGGACAGCAUGGCGAGCGACGCGGUCACCCGGCUCACCACCACCUCCAGCACCAUGAACAUGAAGGACAAGGCUGUGGAUUUGUGAGGCAGAAUCUACAAGCAAUGAAUGAGUGGAGAGCCCAUGCAGCUAAGAAAUCUGUUCCAUGCCCCACAGCUUGUGACUGUGGGACUCUGUGGGCAUGAAACCUGGCUUGUAACUUCACACCUUCAUUGGGGUAGCAAGCUGGCCUGAAGCUCAAGACCACAUGAAGCCCUACUGAGUCUGCUUCUCCCUGCUUCCUGUUCCUCUACAUCGCUGGCUCUACUACAAAGAAAUGGGGAUUUCCCCAAGAAUCUCAUGCCGAGAGAAGGAAAAAGUGUCCAUCAGAAGAACGUGUCUCCUGGAAAGAGAUUUGUACACAGUUAUGACAACUUAUCAGCCCACAUCACAGGGCUGUGUGAAAUCUCAAGGACAGCACAGUGGUAAGUAGGGUCCCACCUGGACUGGGACUGCAGAUGCCUGGGCCUCCUAUGUAAGCCUUUGUUCUGUUUGUUUUCCAAGACAGAGUCUUUCUAUGUUAUCAUUGGAGCACCGGCAGGCUCCUGAAGGCAUGUGUCACUACACAGUUUAGAUUUUAGUUAUCAUUAGCAGAUCAUAUUUUUUUCCUUGCUUGCUUCAAUAUUGUUUUUUUCUUUUUAAAAAAAGAUUAUAUUUAUUUUUUUUAUUUUAUACAGGUGUGUUCUAUCCAAAUAUGUGCCUGCAUGCCAGAAGAUCCCAUUACAGAUGGUUGUGAGCCACCAUGUGGUUGCUGGGAACUGAACUGAGGACCUCUGGAAGAGCAGACAGUGCUCUUAACUGCUGAGCCAUCUCUCUAGCCCCCACAUUGUACUUUGAACUGGCCCUUAAGCCAUGUUCCUCGGAGGGUCAGCAGCCAGCAGCCAGCAACCUCUUCUUGCCAGAGCAGAAUCCUCAACAAAAGCGCUUAAGGCAGGAAGCAUCUGUUGUGGCGGCAGCUGGAGGGUGCGGUUCAUCCUAGCAGGGAAGACCUGGCAGCAGGAGCAGGAGCAGGAGGCCUUGGGGCCAGGAAACCAAGAGCGUCUUCUCAGUGCUCAGCCUGCUGUCGUCCAGGACGCCAGCCCGUGAGGUGGCAUCGGCCCGCCUUUACCACAUCUUCUAGAAACUGUCUCUCAGGCAUGCCUAGAAGUUCGUUCCCAUGGUGAUUCUAAACAUGUUGAGUUGACAGUCAAGUCAGCCACCACAGAUGUGUUAAUUAUAUUUUACGGUGUUUCCAAUUUACGGUGAGUUUAUUAAGGGUAGGUCAAAGACCCUCCGUAGUCUGAAAUUCAGAAGAUUUGUACCCAGGUUUACCUGUUGUUGGGUUUUCUCCCAUUGGCUUUGGCUUUUGUGCUCCCUCCUUUGUCCUUGAGGUAGGUCCUUGCUGUGCAACCCCAGCUGUUCCAGAACUUGCUAAGUAGACCUGUCUGUCUUUGAAUUUGCUGCGAUCCUCUUGCCUCUGUCUCCUGGGAGCUAGGAUUAUACAGACACCGUGCCCACUGCGUCUUUGUCUCUUGAAGGAUGUGAAGCAAGUCACGCAGGAGAGAACCAACUCUCCAAAGUUGUCCUCUGGUGUACACACACACGCAAACACACACACACACACACACACGCAAACACACACACACACACACACACACACACACACACACACACACACACACACAAUGGUAAUCCAAAGCCAAACACCUUAAUAUGCAUCUCAGAAAAAUAGGGCUAUUCUGAUACAUACAUAGCCAUAGUACAUUUUUGCCUGCUUUAUAAGUUAGGAUGUCAUUGUCUGUAAACCUGCCUCUCCCUUCAUUUUGCUUAGAGCAUUCCCAUAGCCCCCCUUUUUUGUUCUUUAUAAUGUUGACAUAUUCUUAAGAAUAUAGUUCUUGUCAUGUUUUGGGGGGAGGCAAGCAGUAACAUUAUCAGCUUGAGGCUGGAGUGGGCUAAAAGCAUGUUCCUGAAGCACCUUCCAGGCCCACAUCAGCUACAUAGUAAGAGCCUGUCUCAGGAAGCCAAGGUUGGAGUGGGGCUCAGCCGUGUUGCACUUGCCUCUCACACACAGGCCUCAGAUUGAUCCCCAACACCACAAGAUCAAAUAAAAGCCCAUCUGCUCCGUCUGAUGCUUUGUUCUCUCGGUUGGGAUAUUGCGGAAGUGGAGUCCUGUCCUGUUUCUGGGGGCAUCUGACCUGGGAGCAAGUGACAUCCACCUGUCCCCUCCCAGAAGCGCAUCCUUUAAUCUCUCUCUCCACCCAUUCCACACUUGCCCAGCUCCUUUACCAUAUAAUUAUUUUCUUUCCUUUGAACUGAGAAGCCGUCUCUGGGUAGGUACUGUUAAGACUACGAAAAUGUAUUAUCCACCAACAUUUCCUCUCACACUUGGUGUGGGAAAUGAGCCCCACCCGGCUCCAUCUUCACGUUCUUGUGCUGCCUGCCUCAGUGUUUGCCAGUGUCCUGGAAGCAGGAGCUCCCCACACCCCCACUAGUUUAUUUCUUGGUCCCAGUGGUUUACAGUUCAUCUCUGCUUAUUUGGGGCCUAUGGUUGCUGAUUUCAUGAAUGUUUCUGGAUUUUUGACUGAAUGAUGCAACUGAGGUGGCUGUGGUGAUUCUGUCCACCCUAGCGCUGCCAGAGAACCCACAACAACAGCUCGAAGGACUUCGGAAAGAUGACAUUGAUUCUGACUUUCCUGUUCAUAACCAGGGGGUUGUGGGUAGGCUGUGCAAGCUUCAGUUUCCCUGACGGACAGGGUCGGUGUGAGAAUACUGGAGUUUCCCAUCCAGACUGAACAAGAUAACGUUUGUGUUUCGGAGAAUGACUGAGACACUGAUACCUCACAGGUUCUGUUCCUAGUGUUAGAUAGUUCCUGCGUGAACCAGGUCAUCUUUGCUGUUGUUACAGCUCCCUAUUGCUCACAGCCACCAUCGAAAAGUACCCCCAAACUCACUCAGGUCUGCCCCUUUCCUACAGCUGGGUUAAUUCAGAGAUAACUAGCCUGGCUGCUUUUUUCACAGAGAGCAUGGGUAUGAAAUAGAGAGGCAAAUGGCUCACUCCUGGCUACCCAGGAGAGGUGCCUUAUUUCUGGAAACACACCUAGUCCAGCGAGUGCAUUCUCUGUCGCCAUCAAGGGCUUCGUACACUCUUCUUUUCCUGGUGACGGGUGUCACUCAGAGUCGCUCGCUCACACUCGCUCGCUCACAGUGGGAGAACGUUCUCUGCGUGACUCAUCCUCAUUCCAGGAUAACGUGCUCUACUUUCGUUCUCUGCCUCCCACUCAGUUUCACAUCCCUCUUUGGAGCCUCCGGACCCUCUGUGCCCCAUCUGCGUCCCACGCCCAUCCCCGCCUCUUCUACUUUGGUCCUUGCUCCAGACUGCUGCGCCAUCCUCAGAUUCUACUGCCUGCACUGGGAGGAGUCAGGUUUAUGGCAGAGCAUGUGUUACUGAGAAGCCUCUCUGAUUCACGUUGGAAAUAGCACGAAGGUGUACAAGGAGAAGUGUCUGUCUGUGUGUCCAGCAUCCUGCAAAGGUCCAAGCACCGCAGCAAAGCAAAGAGCUACAGGCACCCCGGUUUCAUUUCAUUUCCUCCAAAGCCCCUGGGAAUUCUUCUGAGCUCCCGGGGUUGCUGGUGAGCGGAAUCGGACUGGGAAAAGACAUGCCAGGGGCUCAGCCUAGGGAUGUGAUCAUUGUGCCAAGAUCUCCAGCUUCGUGUUUUGUUUCUUCUGAAACACGCUCUGACCUGUAUAAUUUGAUGUUACUCACAUCUAAAUGCUAAUAAAACAACUGAAAUAUUUGCAGAUGA
ensembl:antisense 1700034H15Rik RIKEN cDNA 1700034H15 gene